rnacentral:rRNA from 1 species
UCUGUCCUACGGGGCGCAGCAGUGAGGAAUAUUGGUCAAUGGACGAGAGUCUGAACCAGCCAAGUAGCGUGAAGGACGACUGCCCUAUGGGUUGUAAACUUCUUUUAUAUGGGAAUAAAAUGUUCCACGUGUGGGAUUUUGUAUGUACCAUAUGUAUAAGGAUCGGCUAACUCCGUGCCAGCAGCCGCGGUAAUACGGAGGAUCCGAGCGUUAUCCGGAUUUAUUGGGUUUAAAGGGAGCGUAGGUGGAUUGUUAAGUCAGUUAUGAAAGUUUGCGGCUCAACCGUAACAUUGCAGUUGAAACUG